rnacentral:rRNA from 1 species
GACGAACCGUGCUAACGUUGUUCGGAAUCACUGGGCGUAAAGGGCGCGUAGGCGGCUUUAUAAGUCGGGGGUGAAAGCCUGUGGCUCAACCACAGAAUUGCCUUCGAUACUGUAGAGCUUGAGACCGGAAGAGGUAAGUGGAACUGCGAGUGUAGAGGUGAAAUUCGUAGAUAUUCGCAAGAACACCAGUGGCGAAGGCGGCUUACUGGUCCGGUUCUGACGCUGAGGCGCGAAAGCGUGGGGAGCAAACAGG